GCCAGCAUGGCGCAGUGGUUUGAGUACUGGAUUAUGAUUCUGGAGACCAGGGUUCAAAUCUCAGCUUGGCC